CCCUUAGAUGUUCUGGGCUGCACGCGCGCUACACUGACGCACGCAACAGGUGCCUGCUCCGAGAGGACGGGGUAAUCAUUUGAGUGUGCGUCGUGAUGGGGAUAGAAUAUUGUAAUUAUUACUCUUCAACGAGGAAUUCCUAGUAAGCGCCAGUCAGCAGCUUGCGCUGAUUACGUCCCUGCCCUUUGUACACACCGCCCGUCGCUCCUACCGAUGGGUGAUCCGGUGAAUGAUUCGGACUUCAGCGGCUCCCCUGGGGUGCGCCGGAGAAAGUUUUGUGAACCUUAUCACUUGGAGGAAGGAGAAGUCGUAACA
rnacentral:rRNA from 1 species